rnacentral:rRNA from 1 species
AGAGUUUGAUCCUGGCUCAGAUUGAACGCUGGCGGCAGGCCUAACACAUGCAAGUCGAGCGGAUGAAGGGAGCUUGCUCCUGAAUUCAGCGGCGGACGGGUGAGUAAUGCCUAGGAAUCUGCCUAGUAGUGGGGGACAACAGUUGGAAACGACUGCUAAUACCGCAUACGUCCUACGGGAGAAAGUGGGGGAUCUUCGGACCUCACGCUAUUAGAUGAGCCUAGGUCGGAUUAGCUUGUUGGUGGGGUAAUGGCCUACCAAGGCGACGAUCCGUAACUGGUCUGAGAGGAUGAUCAGUCACACUGGAACUGAGACACGGUCCAGACUCCUACGGGAGGCAGCAGUGGGGAAUAUUGGACAAUGGGCGAAAGCCUGAUCCAGCCAUGCCGCGUGUGUGAAGAAGGUCUUCGGAUUGUAAAGCACUUUAAGUUGGGAGGAAGGGCUGUUACCUAAUACGUGACAGUUUUGACGUUACCAACAGAAUAAACACCGGCUAACUUCGUGCCAGCAGCCGCGGUAAUACGAAGGGUGCAAGCGAUAAUCGGAAUUACUGGGCGUAAAGCGCGCGUAGGUGGUUCGGUAAGAUGGAAGUGAAAGCCCCGGGCUCAACCUGGGAACUGCUUUCAUAACUGCCGAGCUAGAGAACGGUAGAGGGUAGUGGAAUUUCCUGUGUAGCGGUGAAAUGCGUAGAUAUAGGAAGGAACACCAGUGGCGAAGGCGACUACCUGGACUGAUACUGACACUGAGGUGCGAAAGCGUGGGGAGCAAACAGGAUUAGAUACCCUGGUAGUCCACGCCGUAAACGA